CACGUAGGCACCAAGCGUUAUCCGGAUUUAUUGGGCGUAAAGAGCUCGUAGGCGGUUUGGUAAGUCGGGUGUGAAAACUCUGGGCUCAACCCAGAGAGGCCACUCGAUACUGCUAUGACUAGAGUACGGUAGGGGAGCGGGGAAUUCAUGGUGUAGCGGUGAAAUGCGCAGAUAUCAUGAGGAACACCAGCGGCGAAGGCGCCGCUCUGGGCCGUAACUGACGCUGAGGAGCGAAAGCAUGGGUAGCAAACAGG
rnacentral:rRNA from 1 species